rnacentral:ribozyme from 13 species
UUUUUUUUUUUUUUUUUUUUUUUUUUUUUUUUUUUUCCUUAC